GACCUCACGUAUCAUUAGAGAUACCGUGAAGUUUGACUUGCAGUUUAAGCUAUGGAAGCUCAAGAAAAAAAAUUUGACCUUUUGGAGGUCUUGGUUCAUUAGAGUCCAUUUUGAUAGUAGCCAUGAUUUGAGGAUGAAUUCAUAUUCUGCCAGUUAUUUCUCGUUGUGUAUGUAACAAUGAUCUAUCCUUGCUCCUCAUUACCAAAUGGUAUAGUCUCUUUAUACACAACAUGCUUCAUCAGAGUUGUAGAAUUUUGAUUAUGAUCAGCAGUAGAACUAGAUUUAAGAUGGUGCUGAAUGAAUAUAACAACCUGAAAUAUUGGGCCUUGGCCCAUCUAAGUUACCUAGGUAUUAAGUCUUGGCUCAUACUACUUCAAUCAUAAGCUAUUUAUCACCCACUUCUCUAGUACCUACUUGAUAACUUAAACAAAAUAAAAAAUAAAAAAAGGGAGAGAAGCAGCAGCAUAGUUCCAAGGAGAAGAAAAAAAAAACAAGAGCUACAGGGAAAGGAAGUGAAGAAAAAAGGCUAGAGACUUAGAACCAGAUAAGAAAAAUUCAAGAUCCAACUAGUUUCUCCAUUCUUGACUUUGCAAAUAACUGAUACUUCAAGGAGACAAUUGUCGGAAGCGAAUUGGAGUUAUUCGGCAAGAGUACAAUAGCUUAGCCGAGGGUGACAUUCUGACUCAGACAGAGUGAUAGACAGGGCUGACAACGAAUCUAGUAAGCCCCGCACUUGUUUCGUGUAGGCCAUCAUGUUGCUGGCUACUAUAGUAUAUUAGUUUUUUUUUUUUCAAAUCCUAGAGUUUUGCUCCUUAAGUCGGCCUUGUAUAUCUUAUUUUGGCUUGUGUUAGUAAAGUAUAGCUUGGGACUUAUAAGUUUUGCGAAAGCCCAUGGCUUGGGAAGCUGAUGCUUUAUAAAACUCAAUAUGUUGGUAUUGUAGCUUGUUGGACUACUUUACUGGGGGUUGACAGGUUUUGAUUUAUGAAUUUUCUCCCGGUACAGAGGAAACUCUGCCGAAAUUUUUACUAACAAGAAAUGAUUCAGGCUUGCUCGGUUGGCUUAGGCUAACUGAGCGCCGGUCAUGACCUAGGUGGGUGGGUCGUGACAAUGUCCUAACUGAUCGCAAUUGACCCAUAAUGUAUUUAAUCUUUCAUAAAGGAUUUGUUGACGAUGGCUGCCUAUGCAAACAUGAGUCUUCAAUGACUUCUCAAGUAGCACUUCAAUACAUAUACGUGUAUACGGUUAAAACUGGAUAUAUGUAAGACCGGUGAGACCGGGGGCCGAGGGUAUGACCAAAUGAGCACGAGUAUGAUCGAUUUUUCUUCAGACGGGAAAUUUCACCGGAUGUGGCUGAUCCGAGAAAAGAGAAGUAAAUCUGUUGAUCCGGUGUCUCCGGACCAAACUCAGCAUUGCCGUUAGUCCGGUUUCUCCAAGUCAAGUUCUCAUGGCCGUUAGUCCGGUUUCUUCAGGUUCGAGCUGAACGUGGCCGUUGGUCCAGUUAACCAGUUGCAGAAUUGCCACGCACCAAGACCGUUCUGCCACUUUGUACUGACAACCGUAUGGGUGUCAGACCGUACGACCCUACCUUAUCCUUUUAGGGUUUUUUUAUUCUAAAAAGGCUUUGUAUUGUAUGUAAGGCCCAUGAGGCAAAACUAUAAAUAGAGGAUAUUUUUCCCUUCUUUUAGGGGUUGACUUUAGGAGAUCUAGAACAUUGUAAUAGAAAAUAUAUAUU